GACGAACGCUGGCGGCGUGCCUAACACAUGCAAGUCGAACGGAACUCAUUGGAUUGAGACUUCGGUCGAAUGAUAGUGAGUUUAGUGGCGGACGGGUGAGUAACGCGUGAGCAACCUGCCUUUCAGAGGGGGACAACAGUUGGAAACGACUGCUAAUACCGCAUAAUGUAUUUUAAGGGCAUCCUUGAAAUACCAAAGAUUUUAUCGCUGAAAGAUGGGCUCGCGUCUGAUUAGUUAGUUGGUAGGGUAACGGCCUACCAAGACUACGAUCAGUAGCCGGACUGAGAGGUUGAACGGCCACAUUGGGACUGAGAUACGGCCCAGACUCCUACGGGAGGCAGCAGUGGGGAAUAUUGGGCAAUGGGGGCAACCCUGACCCAGCAACGCCGCGUGAAGGAAGAAGGCUUUCGGGUUGUAAACUUCUUUGACGAGGGACGAAUAAAUGACGGUACCUCGAAAACAAGCCACGGCUAACUACGUGCCAGCCGCCGCAGUAAUAC
rnacentral:rRNA from 1 species